GCCGAACGCUGGCGGCGUGCCUAAUACAUGCAAGUAGUACGCAGUUGCGAACGGGUUAGUAAUGAGUAGGUAAUUGCUUUAUAUCGGGGGAUAACUAUUGGCAACGAUCGCUAAUACCGUAUAUUGUGAGAUUGACAUGCUUUGUAGUCGGUCGUUGGUGAGGUAAAGGCUCACCAAGGCGACGAGACAUAGCCGACCUGAGAGGGUGAUGGGCCACACCGGGACUGAGACAGGACCCAGCGUCGUACUGUAUGCAACAGUAGGGAAACUUUGGGAAUGGACCGAGAUCUGACCGAGCAACACCGCGUGAGUUAUGAAGGUUUUCCGAUCGGAAAGCUCUGUUGUUAGAGAAGCGGUAACGAACCAGAAAGGGACGGCUCACUACGUGACAGCAGCCGCGGUAAUUC
rnacentral:rRNA from 1 species